AAAUUGACGGGGGCCCGCACAAGCGGUGGAGUAUGUGGUUUAAUUCGACGCAACGCGCAGAACCUUACCAGGUCUUGACAUACCAUUGACAGGUGUAGAGAUACACUCUCCUUCGGGCAAUGGAUACAGGUGGUGCAUGGUUGUCGUCAGCUCGUGCCGUGAGGUGUUGGGUUAAGUCCCGCAACGAGCGCAACCCUCAUUGUUAGUUACUACCAUUCAGUUGAGGACUCUAAUGAGACUGCCAACGACAAGUUGGAGGAAGUGGGGAUGACGUCAAAUCAUCAUGCCCCUUAUGACCUGGGCUACACACGUGCUACAAUGGUUGGUACAACGAGUUGCGAGUCGGUGACGGCGAGCUAAUCUCUUAAAGCCAAUCUCAGUUCGGAUUGUAGGCUGUAACUCGCCUACAUGAAGUCGGAAUCGCUAGUAAUCGCGGAUCAGCACGCCGCGGUGAAUACGUUCCCGGGCCUU
rnacentral:rRNA from 1 species